GUCGAACGUCGCGACCCGCUGGGUGUCGGUUUACGGCCCGGGNGNGGGGACUGUNGGGUNNCCGGUAAAACGGCACGCGACAAACCCCCGGUCGCCCGGCCGGCUGCUCGGCGGUACGCGCAAGGUAUCAGGCCCGACUGUUUACGGUGCGUCGAGGCCGUCGCANGCGCGCGCCACGGUACUCGGAGGUUACGGACUUUGCGCCGUCCCCGGUCCUGGCCCGCUGUUGGUUAAAGUACGGCUCACCUUCGACAGGCCUGUCGAACGUCCCUCUCCCUCCCUUGUGAGUGACGAGGGGGAUCUAUACC
rnacentral:rRNA from 1 species